GCCGGCGGGUACGCGCUCGCUGCGUCGACGUGCUGACGCCAGGACGCCUGGCCGGUGUGUGUCGGGGUGUGUGUGUGUAUGUGUGUGUGUGUGUGUGUGUGUGUGUGUGUGUGAGUGUGCGCGCUCCGAGUGUGUAUUUGUGUAUCGGCGGUCCCGCAGGUCCCGGAUGUUGCGGACAGUAUGAGGCGAGCGCAGGGGGACGGGGACCAGCAGCUGUCGCCGCCGCUCUCAGGAUGCUUUGUUCUUAUGUGGAAACAUUUCAUCUAGUUGGAUUCACUGAGGCCUCAUUUACAGUUUUGAUGGUUCAAAGGCAUGGAAUGCUUUUGGGAUUAAGAUAAGUAUUGUUAAUUCGUAUUGAUGUGUAGAGCCUUGUUUUUAAAAAUCACCCUUUAAAAUGGUUAACACAUGUAUAUACAUAUGAAACAAUGCAAAAGGUGCACAGUGAGGGAGUGCAGGUCUUCUGGCACCCCCUUUCAUCCAUCUUGUGCCCUCCCUAAAGCAGCAUAUUGUGUAUCCUUCCAGAGGGAGCCUGCAGCUACCCACACAAAGCCUAUAUAUUCUUUAGUAUUUUUUUUUCUGUUUGUUUCACACAAAUAGUAGAUACUAUGCUUUUUAUUCUGCACUUUGCUUUUUCAUUUACCUUGGUGAUCAUUCCAUGUACUAUAUAUAUACAGCAUCUCUGCCUUUUUGAAAGAUGGCAGGUAUUGCAUUGUGUAGUUGUACCAUCAAUUCAGCCAGCACACUCUCUCAUUUAUUUAGUGGUUUUUGAGACAGGGUUUCACUGUGUAGUUCAGGCUGGCCUUGAACUCACUGUGUAGCCCUGGUGGCCUCGGAUUUGCAGUGAUCCUCCUGCCUCAGCUUCUCAGAGUGCUGGAAAUAGAAACGUGUGCUACCACUCUUUUGUCUAUUUCAUUUUAUUUUGAGUCAGGGUCUCACUAAAUUUCCCAGGCUGCUUUAAACUGUGAUUCUCCUGCCUCAACCUCCUAAGUACAGGUGUGUGCUGCUCUUAGCAGCUGCUUUUUUUAAUGUUUAAGUGAAAAAUUUUAAACAUACAUAAAAAUAGAAAGGACAGUGCAAUAAUACCCUAUAACCAUCACUUAGAUUCAACAGUUGUUUGUAUUCUGUAUUUGCUUUGUGUGUAUAUGUGCUAUGUGUUUAGAUAUGUAAUAUAUAAAUUUUUAUAUUUCAAGUCAUCGCAACACUUCCCCCAUAAAUACUUCAGAUGCGUCUCCUUGAAGUAGUCAUUAUUUUACUUAAUUGUUGUUACAGUACUUGUCGCAGUUAAGGCAAUUAACAGUAACCCUAAUAUUAUGUAGUAUUCAGUUCAUGGUCACCUUUUCUCAGUUGCCUUGAAGAUGAUACUUUUUUAGCUGCUUAUAGUUUUUUCUUCAAACAUGUCUCUUUCGUCUUUUUAAAAAUCCCAAUUUAGUACCCAUAACCAUUGGGGUUUUUUGAAGAGACCAGACCACUUGUGUUGUAGCAUGUAUCACUCUGGAAAUUUUCUGGUUGUUUCCUCACAGUUUCAUUUAAUUUGCUCUUUUUUUUUUUUUUUUUUUUUUUAAGUACCGGGGAUUGAACUUGGGACUUGGUGCUUGCGCGGCAGGCGCCAAAACCACUGAGCUAAAUCCCCGGCCCUAAUUUGCUCCUUUAUCCCUGUGUUACACUUAAAUUGGUAUAAAGAUCUAAAUUCUUUUUUUUUUUUGAAGCAGGGUCUUGCUUUGUAGCCCAGGCUGGCCAUGAACUUUUGAGAUCCUCCUGUCUCAGCCUCCCAGGUGCUGGGAUUAUUGGUGUGUGCCACCAUGCCUGGCUGUGAUCUAAAUUCUAAAGGUUUAGAUUCUGAUUAAACAUUUUUGCUAAGAAUACUGCUCUUCAUUCCAUCAUACUAGGAGAAAUAUAUCACAGCCCUCUCUCUUUGAUGGUACCGCAUCUCUCUUUGAUGAUGAUGUUGGUUUGAUCAUGUGUUUUAGGUGACAGAUACUCUUCACCUAGAAUAUUGUUUUUCCCUUUGUAGUUAGCGACUUGAACAGUACCACUCUGGCACUGCACCAUUUAUACUUUUCCAGCAACCUUUCACCAAAGGAUGAUGGUCCUUGCCUGAAUCGGUUAAUUCACUGGUUGUUGCAAAAUGAUGAUGUUCUAAUUGUUCCAUGCCUUUUACAUUGAUUAGUUUUCAAUCUUCUUUAAAAAUUUUCCUCAUCCCUUAGGAAUAAAUUGUAGUUAGUACUAAAAAGUUGAGACGGCUAGGUGUGGUGGUGCAUGCCUGUAAUCCCAGCACUCAGGAGGCUGAGGCAGGAGAAUCACUGUGAGUUUGAGGCCAGCCUGGGCUACAUAGUGAAUUCAAAGCCAGCCCAAACUACAUAGUGAGACCCUGUCUCAAAAAAAAAAAAAAAAAAAAAAAAAAAUGGAACAACUUCUUAAUUCUUGCCCUUUAACACUUUUCUGAGAAAGGAGAUGGUAUAAUGGUCAUCUUAAUGGAAGUAAAUGAAUUGUUUCUUUUUCCCUCCUUUAGUAGCAUAAUGAACUCAUGGAUUUUAAUUUAUUGUGUUUUACCAGCAAUUACAGGCAAUCUUUGUAAUGCACAAGAUGUUCCAUAUUUGGCUGUGGAAACUCUUUCAGCUGAGUGUAUGUAUGAAUGCUUCCUUGCUUUCUGGCACAAGAAGUUCCUGGCUCGCUUUGUAUUUUUCCUGUCCCAGAUGUGGACCCCUUGCUUUACUUUUAUAUCUGUCUCCCUUUUCAGUAAAUUAGGUUGUUCAUCUUCAUUAUGGAGCUUCUGGAAUCAAAUUCUAAAAGCUGCAGCUGCCUUUAUCUUGACCCAGUGGACCUAGUGUUUGUUUGAUUCACUUCCGUGCCACUGGUGUUGUGCCACUGGUGUUGUUCGUUUCUAGAUCUUGAAACUCAAGUUUCUUUGUGGAACACAGGUAGUAUAUCUGAAGAUAGCAUUGCUCUUCACUCCAUCUUAACAGACGGGUAGCUAUAGCAGAGAUGGGGAAUUUUUUUCCCUCAUGAAGAAAAUUCUUUUUUUUUCUGGAAUGAAAAAUACACUGAAUGAAAUUUAGAGACUGAAAUUGUGUGCUUAUAAAGCUCUGUUGGGGAUGUGGCAUUUUUAUUGUUAUAUAAAAACAUUUUUGUGUGUAUAUGCGCCAGUAUAUUUUUCUUCCCUUUUCCUCAUUUACACGCAUUUCUCUACACAGUUGGAGUGUUAUGUAAAAUUAUGCUGUAAUAGCAUAUUUUUUUCAUUAUCACUAAAUUUUCAUCAUAAAAAGGGAGGAAGACAAAUUGUUUUUAAUGAGGGAAAAUUUUCAGCUAGGCUGUGAACUCUGAUACCCAAUAACUUGGGGUUUGGAAUAGUGCCGAAUCCUGUGAAUUUCUGUCCUGUAGUGUGAAUCACAAGUGUUGGUGCUUCCAUGUUUCUGAAAAUUCACCCCACUAAUGAAGGUUAAUACAAAUGACUGACACAGUAGAAUUGCAUUCUACAGCUGCUUUCAGAGACUGGACUAAUUCCUGUUCUAGUAAAAAUGUUACUCUUCCAUGCACAGUGGUAUUUUCACUGAUCUUACUGAUUUCAGGUUACAUAAAGCCAGACAAUAACAACAUUCUGGUACUUACUGGAAAUUCAUGUUUUGUAUUCUUUUUCUUUUUUGGUACCAGGGAUCGAACUCCAGUCCUUGUGCUUGCAAGGCAAGCAACGGAACCACUGAGCUAAAUCCCUGGCCCAAUGUUUUGUAUUCUUUUUACAGUCUUGUCAUAUAUAGGGUUACUAGUGUCAACCUGGUUUCAUAACAAUAUUGGCUCCAUAUUAAUUCUGAUUGUUUAUCUGUGGAAGCACGCCCGUUUCUUGUGUUUGUUUUCAGGCAUGGUGAAAUCACUCCAAAAGGUUAUGUGGACACAUUUUCUUUUUUUUUUUGGUACUGGGGAUUGAACUCAGGUCCUUGCGCUUGCGCAGCAGGCAGUGAAACCACUGAGCUAAAUCCCCAGCCCCCACAUUUUCUAAUAAGAUCUAAUAGCUUCUUUUGUAUUUAUAAAGUUCCCAUUACAGGGAAAAAUUCUAAAGUACAAACUCUUUAGAAGAUGCUGGGGCCAUCACUCUUACAACCAUAGCCACAUUUUGAGAGAACUGGCAAGGAGCUGCCCCUCGGCUGUCUGUGGCAGAGCUGGUCCUGCAGCUGUGGGAGAGCUGAAUGCAGGCCUCAGAGUGGGAAGGAUCACGUUCACACGAUACCUCUUGCCAACAGGGAAGACCUUUGCUCAUGGAUAGUUUCAAGAAACUCUUGGCAUAAAUCUUCUUGCAUAGCAGGUACACCAGAGAAGUACUUGGCAGUUGUUUCCUGAAAUUUCUCUGAUUUCUCCUUUGUAUCUAUUUUAUUUAUAAGAAGAAAAAUGUAUGCGUAAUAACUCAUCUUAAAUUGAGAUUUGUAUACUCUGUUAUUUGACAUUCAGAAACAGCCAUGUAGAAGUUUUCUGUAAAUAAAACUAAUUUCAGGGUUGGGUUGAGGGGUGAAAAAAACCCCAAAAAACUAAGUUCUUCAGUGUAGAACAUCAUUUAUACUCCCUUAGGUUUUAAAUUAUAAAGUACUUUAAACAUAUAGAAAUAUACAAAAAAAUGAAACAUAUAAAGAAUAAUAUCACUCAUAUACCUAUCAGCUAUAGCAAAUCUUAACAUUAUGUUAUAUUUGCUUUUAGAUAUUUUGAUAAAUAAAACAUAGAAACAGAGUGACCUUGGUGUGAUCCUAUUUGCCUCUUCUCCUUCCUGAGAAGUAACACCUGUCCUGAAUUUGGUUGGUGUUCAACAUUUUCCAACUGUGCUAUAUAAUCCUAUAUAUAAUUAUUUAAUAUUUGUGUUUAAUAUAGUUUUUGAGAUUUACUUAGGUUGAGAGGUGUAACUUGAGUCUGUGUUAAUUGUAAUAUUUUUUUACAUGAAUAAUAAGCGGCACCAUUUAUGUAUUUUGUGUUGUCAUUUAAGAUAUUUAAGGGCCGGG
rnacentral:lncRNA from 1 species